rnacentral:rRNA from 1 species
AUGGCUCAGGACGAACGCUGGCGGCGUGCUUAACACAUGCAAGUCGAGCGGUAAGGCCUUUCGGGGUACACGAGCGGCGAACGGGUGAGUAACACGUGGGUGAUCUGCCCUGCACUCUGGGAUAAGCUUGGGAAACUGGGUCUAAUACCGGAUAUGACUACAGCAUGCAUGUGUUGUGGUGGAAAGAUUUAUCGGUGCAGGAUGGGCCCGCGGCCUAUCAGCUUGUUGGUGGGGUAAUGGCCUACCAAGGCGACGACGGGUAGCCGACCUGAGAGGGUGACCGGCCACACUGGGACUGAGACACGGCCCAGACUCCUACGGGAGGCAGCAGUGGGGAAUAUUGCACAAUGGGCGGAAGCCUGAUGCAGCGACGCCGCGUGAGGGAUGAAGGCCUUCGGGUUGUAAACCUCUUUCAGCAGGGACGAAGCGUGAGUGACGGUACCUGCAGAAGAAGCACCGGCUAACUACGUGCCAGCAGCCGCGGUAAUACGUAGGGUGCGAGCGUUGUCCGGAAUUACUGGGCGUAAAGAGUUCGUAGGCGGUUUGUCGCGUCGUUUGUGAAAACCCGGGGCUCAACUUCGGGCUUGCAGGCGAUACGGGCAGACUUGAGUGUUUCAGGGGAGACUGGAAUUCCUGGUGUAGCGGUGAAAUGCGCAGAUAUCAGGAGGAACACCGGUGGCGAAGGCGGGUCUCUGGGAAACAACUGACGCUG